AGAGUGAACGCUGGCGGUAGGCCUAACACAUGCAAGUCGAACGGCAGCACGGUAAGAGCUUGCUCUUAUGGGUGGCGAGUGGCGGACGGGUGAGGAAUACAUCGGAAUCUACCUUUUGGUGGGGGAUAACGUAGGGAAACUUACGCUAAUACCGCAUACGCCCUUCGGGGGAAAGCCGGGGACCAGCAAUGGCCUGGCGCUGAUAGAUGAGCCGAUGUCGGAUUAGCUAGUUGGUGAGGUAAUGGCUCACCAAGGCGACGAUCCGUAGCUGGUCUGAGAGGAUGAUCAGCCACACUGGAACUGAGACACGGUCCAGACCUCCGUACGGGAGGCAG
rnacentral:rRNA from 1 species